ACGGAAGGCAGCAGUGGGGAAUAUUGGACAAUGGGGGAAACCCUGAUCCAGCGACGCCGCGUGAGUGAAGAAGUAUUUCGGUAUGUAAAGCUCUAUCAGCAAGGAAGAAAAUGACGGUACUUGACUAAGAAGCUCCGGCUAAAUACGUGCCAGCAGCCGCGGUAAUACGUAUGGAGCAAGCGUUAUCCGGAUUUACUGGGUGUAAAGGGAGCGUAGACGGUAAAGCAAGUCUGAAGUGAAAUCCCGGGGCUCAACCCCGGAACUGCUUUGGAAACUGUUUAACUAGAGUGCAGGAGAGGUAAGCGGAAUUCCUAGUGUAGCGGUGAAAUACGUAGAUAUUAGGAGGAACACCAGUGGCGAAGGCGGCUUACUGGACUGUAACUGACGUUGAGGCUCGAAAGCGUGGGGAGCAAACAGGAUUAGAUACCCUGGUA
rnacentral:rRNA from 1 species